AGCCCCUGGAAGCCCCAUCCAGCUGGGACUCUCCCUGGCCACGCGAGCAGGUCUCUCCUAACGGUGAAAGGCUUAGGAGAGAAAAUAAAAGCCAAGGAGAAAAGUUUUAUUUCGGAGAGAAGCGCCAACGCCAGCACUGUGGAACAACCCAGGGCUUUGCCGGGACUCAGGCACCUUAAGAGGGAAACAAAAAGGCAUCAUCAGCUCCUGAUGAAGAGAAGGUGCAGUGGCCCCAGCGCCUGGGCUCGCUGUCACCGUUAGCACAGCCCCUUUCCCGCUCAGGCCCUGGUCCUCUUAUUAAAUCAGCCCCAGGCCUGAGCCGCCCCUCCCCCAUCCUAUCACCAGGAGCGGGACUCGGUUUCCCUCCUGGAGUCCCACAUUCAGCCGCUGAGAAGCGUGAAGCCGCAGCCCUGACCUUCCUCCGUCCUCACCUACCUUCACGUUCAUUCCACUCAUUCUGACAGGGUGCCUGCAGAGCACCAAAUGCAGUCCCGAGCCCCAGAGUCCCCCAGAGUCCUGUCCUGUCGCGGGGUGUCCCCAUCUGGCCUGUAGCUCAGGUCACGAAGCCACGUGGACUGGGGCCCUGAUACGGUGACUGUCUCCAGCUCGGGGUGGACUCUGCGGAGGCGGACAGGGACGGGGUUUUCCAUCCCCCACCUGGGGGCCCCUCACCUGAUGCCCACCCUUCCCACGUCUCUCCAGGCUCCGUUCUCCAGCCUGGGCAAAUGUGCAGGGAGAUGACUGCGGUCCAGCUCAAAAUGCCUUCUCGUUUGACCCCUCCUGCCUCCACCCGUUCCCUCUAAGCUCACAUGUUUCAUUCCAGCCCAAGCACUCAUUCCUCCUCUUCCUGCAAAGUAAACUCGCUGCUGCCCGGACAGAGAGCCGAGGACCCUCUUCCUUCCCUUCACCGCCACCAACCCGAGGAGGAGUCCCUGUCCGUCCUGGCUUCUGCUGGCGAAAGUCUACCCUAGAUCCAUACGAGAGAGCAAGAGUCGGCGAGAAGGACAGAGGGAGAGAGA